UACAGAGGUCCCGAGCGUUGUCCGGAUUCACUGGGUGUAAAGGGUGCGCAGGCGGACUGGCGAGUCAGGGGUGAAAUCUCACAGCUCAACUGUGAAACUGCCUUUGAUACUGCUGGUCUUGAGUCAGGGAGAGGUUGAUGGAAUUCCAGGUGUAGCGGUGAAAUGACGUAGAUAUCUGGAAGAACACCGGUGGCGAAGGCGGUCAACUGGCCCUGAACUGACGCUCAGGCACGAAAGCGUGGGGAUCAAACAGG
rnacentral:rRNA from 1 species